UACAGAGGUCUCAAGCGUUGUUCGGAUUCAUUGGGCGUAAAGGGUGCGUAGGCGGCGCGGUAAGUCGGGUGUGAAAUCUUGGAGCUUAACUCCGAAACUGCAUUCGAUACUGCCGUGCUUGAGGACUGGAGAGGAGACUGGAAUUUACGGUGUAGCGGUGAAAUGCGUAGAUAUCGUAAGGAAGACCAGUGGCGAAGGCGGGUCUCGUGGACAGUUCCUGACGCUGAAGCACGAAGGCCAGGGGGAGCAAACGGG
rnacentral:rRNA from 1 species